rnacentral:snoRNA from 1 species
UACAAUGAUGAUUUUCUUAAAUUAAUAACUUUCGUUCUACCGAUAACGAUCAAACGAUCGUGGGGAAACAAUUUAUAUUCUGACA